rnacentral:rRNA from 1 species
AUUGAACGCUGGCGGCAUGCUUUACACAUGCGAGUCGGACGGCAGCGCGGGCUUCGGCCUGGCGGCGAGUGGCGAACGGGUGAGUAAUACAUCGGAACGUGCCCAGUAGUGGGGGAUAGCUCGGCGAAAGCCGGAUUAAUACCGCAUACGACCUGAGGGUGAAAGCGGGGGACUUUAGGGCCUCGCGCUAUUGGAGCGGCCGAUGGCAGAUUAGCUAGUUGGUGGGGUAAAGGCCUACCAAGGCGACGAUCUGUAGCUGGUCUGAGAGGACGACCAGCCACACUGGGACUGAGACACGGCCCAGACUCCUACGGGAGGCAGCAGUGGGGAAUUUUGGACAAUGGGCGCAAGCCUGAUCCAGCAAUGCCGCGUGUGUGAUGAAGGCCUUCGGGUUGUAAAGCACUUUUGGCAGGAACGAAAAGUGCCGUGCUAAUACCACGGUACGAUGACGGUACCUGCAGAAUAAGCACCGGCUAACUACGUG